GGAUGAACGCUGGCGGCGUGCCUAAUACAUGCAAGUCGAGCGAACAGACGAGGAGCUUGCUCCUCUGACGUUAGCGGCGGACGGGUGAGUAACACGUGGAUAACCUACCUAUAAGACUGGGAUAACUUCGGGAAACCGGAGCUAAUACCGGAUAAUAUAUUGAACCGCAUGGUUCAAUAGUGAAAGACGGUUUUGCUGUCACUUAUAGAUGGAUCCGCGCCGCAUUAGCCAGUUGGUAAGGUAACGGCUUACCAAGGCAACGAUGCGUAGCCGACCUGAGAGGGUGAUCGGCCACACUGGAACUGAGACACGGUCCAGACUCCUACGGGAGGCAGCAGUAGGGAAUCUUCCGCAAUGGGCGAAAGCCUGACGGAGCAACGCCGCGUGAGUGAUGAAGGUCUUCGGAUCGUAAAACUCUGUUAUUAGGGAAGAACAAAUGUGUAAGUAACUAUGCACGUCUUGACGGUACCUAAUCAGAAAGCCACGGCUAACUACGUG
rnacentral:rRNA from 1 species